rnacentral:tRNA from 1 species
GCCCGCUUGGCGAAAUGGCAGACGCAGGGGACUCAAAAUCCCCCGCCCUCACGGGCAUCUCGGUUCGAGUCCGAGAGCGGGCA